rnacentral:misc_RNA from 1 species
GAUGAAGAACGUAGCGAAAUGCGAUAAGUAGUGUGAAUUGCAGAAUUGAGUGAAUCAUCGAAUCUUUGAACGCACAUUGCGCCCCUUGGUAUUCCAUGGGGCAUGCCUGUUCGAGCGUCAUUUGUACCCUCAAGCUUUGCUUGGUGUUGGGUGUUUGUCCCGCGUUGCGCGUGGACUCGCCUUAAAGCGAUUGGCAGCCGGCAUAUUGGCCUUGGAGCGCAGCACAUUUUGCGCUUCUAGUCAUGAAUGUUGGCGUCCAUUAAGCCUAUACAUUUGCUCUUGACCUCGGAUCAGGUAGGGAUACCCGCUGCACUUAAGCAUAUCAAUAAGCGGAGGA